rnacentral:rRNA from 1 species
AUUGAACGCUGGCGGCAUGCUUUACACAUGCGAGUCGAACGGCAGCGCGGGCUUCGGCCUGGCGGCGAGUGGCGAACGGGUGAGUAAUACAUCGGAACGUGCCCAGUAGUGGGGGAUAGCUCGGCGAAAGCCGGAUUAAUACCGCAUACGACCUGAGGGUGAAAGCGGGGGAUCUUCGGACCUCGCGCUAUCGGAGCGGCCGAUGGCAGAUUAGCUAGUUGGUGGGGUAAAGGCCUACCAAGGCGACGAUCUGUAGCUGGUCUGAGAGGACGACCAGCCACACUGGGACUGAGACACGGCCCAGACUCCUACGGGAGGCAGCAGUGGGGAAUUUUGGACAAUGGGCGAAAGCCUGAUCCAGCAAUGCCGCGUGUGUGAUGAAGGCCUUCGGGUUGUAAAGCACUUUUGGCGGGAACGAAAAGGACUGUGCCAAUACCACGGUUCGAUGACGGUACCCGCAGAAUAAGCACCGGCUAACUACGUG